AGACAGUGGUCCAGAGCGGAGAAUGAGAACAAAGUAAUGCAAAAAGGCUUCAAAAUGGCUACAGACAACACAAAUUCGAAGAAAAGAGGUACAAUGACCACAAAGAGACAGAUCAAAACAACCUGAAUGUUUUUUUUCUUUUUACAUUUCAAGGUACAGGUCAAUAGAGGCUUGUUAGAAUGAAGGUAACAAUUUCUGUCCCAGGCUGCAACAAACUGUGAAACUGAACACAAAGCAGAAACUAAAUAUUGUCCAGAACCACUGAGAAACACUGAGGAACAAUAUUACAGACUGGCUACAGAUUUAAAAGGUGGAAUAACUGACAUUGGUUACAACAGUUGCUCUGUAGCAGCCAGCUCCAGUGGCACCAAGCUCCAAAAUAUAAUAAAAAGAAGGAAAUUCAGAGUCACUGAAAUAUCAAGAGAGGUUAAGUAACUAACUCUGAAAUGUCAAGAAAGGUUGAGAUCUACCCACUCCCAGCGCCAAAAGAGAGGAUCUAAUGCGAGAUUCUCCCCAUGGUUGUAAGAUGCACAGUUUUAAUGAAUCAUUUAAAAAUCAAUCAAUAUAAUGUGAAGCAUUAUGAUCAAUGUACUAUGUGUGUGUGUGGAUGAAAUGCAUAUAAAAUCAUAUGACACUGUGAUUGAGCAAGGAUGGAAAGAUUGUGACAUGACUGGAAAGUACCAGAGAGCCUGUCCGGUCUUAGAAAAGGGGAAGUUCAAUAGCACACUGAAAGAUUGGUAUGAGAGUAUGAAAGUCAUGAUUUGUGAAUUAAACAGUUCAUUGUAAUUCAAAGUGUGAAAGUUAAAGAAUAACUGUACCAAUAAUAUUACUAAAAGUGAUGAUUAAUAGUAUCAAAGGUAACUAAGAAUAAGAAUGAUUGAAAGAAGCGGUAUGUAGGAUGGGUGCAAUCACUAUUGGUAAAGAGAGAAGACAAGAAGGAUUGCAACACAGCAUUGCCGGAGCUAGCAUUUUCAAAAGUAGUUUGGUGAAGGAAGUCAGAGAGGGAGGGGGGAGAGCUGGCCAAAACCAGAUAAAAGGUGAUGUACCAGACAACUUAUUCGGACUCUUCGCUGACCAUCGGUGGAUCAUCACCUAAAGAAGACCCCUCCUCGGCCAUCAUCAAGAGAACUGGAUUCUGCGAACUUUUAUUCACUAGAACGAAGGAAUCUUGGAGACUAUUUGCUGCUAAGAGGACUCGAGGCAAGAGGAGUUCUACAAGGAUUGUUAUUUUCUCCCUCUGCAGUAGAGGAUUUGGCCAUAGUUCGCCAGGCCAAAAAGAGGAACUGUGAUUCGGGCGGGGGUCCUCCGGGACUUUGUACGGGGUCAGGAGGCUCGCCCCUCACGGGACUGGCCUGAAUCGGUCAGCUAAGGCCAAGCUGCCAACCCCUCCAUCUCUCUUUCCACAUUAUUCACCUAUCUCAGUGACCGGUUGCAGAACUUAAUACAGGAAUCAGCCUACCACCGGGACAGACAGCAGGACACCGGAAACUGUAGUUUGCACUGACUCCACAAGAUGGCGCCCGUGAAGAUUUAAACAGUUCACUGAAUAAUGAGAACAGACAGCAGUGACAUUAACAGCAGUGAUGGGGGACGUUGCUCGGCAGGAGAAACACAUUGAGGUUUUGCUUCUGUGUUUUGGGGUUUGGUGGUCGGAGGAACAAGAAAACAUGGCCGCUAACUGGUUUCAUGUAGUUCCAUAACCUCCCCAACAUCUCCGAAACCCAGACGAGGCCG